rnacentral:rRNA from 1 species
AAAAACUAAGGUGGUAUAUGAUGGAUCCGCGUCUGAUUAGCCAGUUGGUGAGGUAACGGCUCACCAAAGCGACGAUCAGUAGCCGGCCUGAGAGGGCGGACGGCCACAUUGGGACUGAGACACGGCCCAGACUCCUGCGGGAGGCAGCAGUGGGGGAUAUUGCACAAUGGGGGAAACCCUGAUGCAGCGACGCCGCGUGAGUGAAGAAGUAAUUCGUUACGUAAAGCUCUAUCAGCAGGGAAGAAAAUGACGGUACCUGACUAAGAAGCCCCGGCUAACUACGUGCCAGCAGCCGCGGUAAUACGUAGGGGGCAAGCGUUAUCCGGAAUUACUGGGUGUAAAGGGAGCGCAGACGGCAGUGCAAGUCUGGAGUGAAAGCCCGUGGCUUAACUACGGGACUGCUCUGGAAACUGUGCAGCUAGAGUGCAGGAGAGGCAGGCGGAAUUCCUAGCGUAGCGGUGAAAUGCGUAGAUAUUAGGAGGAACACCGGUGGCGAAGGCGGCCUGCUGGACUGUAACUGACGUUGAGGCUCGAAAGCGUGGGGAGCAAACAGGAUUAGAUACCCUGGUAGUCCACGCCGUAAACGAUGAUUACUAGGUGUCGGGGGACGAUAGUGCUCCG